UUUUUCGACUUCCUCUGGCUUUAUGAAUUUGUUAGUGUCACCUCCUUGAGGUCAUUCUAACAUCUGACAACUGAUGGGGAAGGGAACAUGAAGAGAACCAGCUUCAUCUUGUGAGGUAAAAAUCACCCUCAGGUGAAAAAUAUCUUCAAUCAAGGGAAGAACAGCUUCAACAGGCAAGCAUUCCAAGAUUCAAAGCCCUCCAUGGGAGCAUCUGCUGUCUCCUCUGCUGAUAACCUGGCUUUAUGGGGAAUGGAGAAAGGACAGAAAAUUUUGCACUAAGACAUUCAAUGGGAACUGGACAUAAGGUUCUGAUGCUAGCACUAUGCAGUCUGAAAAUCUUGUGUGCUGAUUAGCAACAGGGAGUCACAGUUUCCAUUCCAGUCAAUCAGAGGAC